CCUAACACAUGCAAGUCGAGCGGCAGCGGGAAAGUAGCUUGCUACUUUUGCCGGCGAGCGGCGGACGGGUGAGUAAUGCGUAGGAAGCUGCCCGAUAGAGGGGGAUACCAGUUGGAAACGACUGUUAAUACCGCAUAAUGUCUACGGACCAAAGUGUGGGACCUUCGGGCCACAUGCUAUCGGAUGCGCCUACGUGGGAUUAGCUAGGUGGGGAGGUAAUGGCUCACCAAGGCGACGUUCUCUAGCUGGCUUGAGAGGAUGAUCAGCAACACUGGAACUGAGAAACGGUCAAGACUCCUACGGGAGGCAGCAGUGGGGAAUAUUGGACAAUGGGGGCAAGCCUGAUCCAGCCAUGCCGCGUGUGUGAAGAAGGCCUUCGGGUUGUAAAGCACUUUCAGCGAGGAGGAAGGGGUGUGUGUUAAUAGUACACACCUUUGACGUUACUCGCAGAAGAAGCACCGGCUAACUCUGUGCCAGCAGCCGCCGUAACAC
rnacentral:rRNA from 1 species